UCGCCCUCAAGGAUUCUCUGCGCACCGCGCCUCCAUCUGCGGAUCUGCCUCUGCGCACCCAUCCGCCCCUGACCGCGCAUCGGCCCCGCGCCCCGGCGCCCCCUCCACUGCUCCGCCGACCACCGUCAGGUCGCGACGCCGCCGAUGACUCUCUCGUGCCGCCAAGGAUCACGCCGCCACCGUGACUCCUCGCCAUCGAUGCGCGACGUGACGCGUUUCCAUCUCUUCGUUCGUCGUCGACGUCUUCGCCGGCCUCCUCAAGAAUCCCGCACCGCCGCUGUCGACCGAGAUGAGGAAAGCCAAGCCAUUAUCGAAAUAGUUGCGCGCGUAGGCACACCAGCAGAAAAAGGCACCGGCCACUCCAAGCUCGUCCGGCACUACGACUCGGAGGCCUCCUGGAACAAUCUAUUGCCUCAUGAUGAAGCAAUAUUUGGAUAUGUCAUCGAAGCCAGGGAGACCAAGAGCAGUAGUCAUCUGCUCCACAAGGUAGCUGACUGAUCAGGCUGAAGAGAUGGGUAGGUUUUUCGGAAACACAAUUAUAUCCAGGUGAAGGAGCUGGUUUGCUUCACCUUCAUAGCACCUAUAGACAGGAUUCUAAUUGUAGGUGAUAAAUGGUGUUUAUUGCCUUCUUGCAUAGUUCAAAAUGUGCUUGAUCGUAUUGUGUCCAGGAUGGUUCAAAAGCAUCAUAGCUAGGCGCACUGAAUUUGUGACUAUGCCCAGACUACUGGGAAUGUUCUUACCAACGGGGAAAAUUGGUAUAUUCAAGCCUAGCAUGCUCAUUUUGGA